rnacentral:rRNA from 1 species
GAUGAACGCUGGCGGCGUGCCUAAUACAUGCAAGUCGAACGAACAGACGAGGAGUUUGCUCCUUGGACGUUUUCGGCGCACGGGUGAGUAACACGGGGAUCAUCUACCUUAAAGACUGGUAUAACUUCGGGAAGCCGGAUCUAAUACCGUAUAAUAUAUUGAUCCGCAUGGUUCAAUAGUGAAAUACGGUUUUGCUGUCACUUAUAGAUGUUUCCGCGCGGCAUUAGCUAGUUGGUAGGGUAACGCCUUACCAAGGCAACGAUGCGUAGCCGACCUGAGAGGUGGACCGGCCACCUGGGAACUGGAAACGGGCCAAGACCCCUACGGGAGGAACCGGAGGGGAAUCUUGGGCAAUGGCCGAAAGCUUGACGGAGCACGGCCGCGUGAGGGAUGAAGGUGUUGGGACCGUAAGACCCGGUUAUAGGGGAAGAACAAAUGUGUAAGUGAAUGUGCACGUCGUGACGGUACCUAAUCAGAAAGCCACGGCUAACUACGUG